GGAAGAGAGGGCGUCUUGGCAACAAAGCACAGCACUUAGAGAGGAGCCUCCAGGAGAGCCUUGGUCCAGCCUCUUGCCUUAGGGAAUUAUCUGAAUAUACCCGUUUGCUGAGGGGUGAUGCCCAAGGAGGCUCCAGCCAGGCACACUGACACAGCACGUGUCUGGGGGACAAGAAGGUGAGGUGCUGCGCAAGAGGACCCCGGAGGGCUUCCCGAGGGGGACGUGAGAAGACAGCACUUACCCUGACGCCUUGCCAUAGGUCUCUGUCUAGGUCGGAGGGAGUAUCCUGCGUCAGUGCUCUUGGCCACGACAACCUCGAAAGGCAGCGCUACUGCUCCCACUCUGCUCAUGAGGGUCUUGAGAGCCUCAGGACUCCCCUUGGCCACACACGGCUGCUUAAGGGCUGAGUCUGACUCUCCACCUUCUAUUGCACAACGCCUCAUGUGGGAUGUGAAGCAUUUCCCCCAACCACUUGGACGCUUAAAAUAAAACCCACUCGGGGCGCCUGGGUGGCUCAGUUGGUUAAGCAACUGCCUUCAGCUCCGGUCAUGGUCCCAGGGUCCUGGGAUC